AGGACCGGAGUGGACGAACCUCUGGUGUUCGGGUUGUGUCGCCAGACGCAUUGCCCGGUAGCUAAGUUCGGGAUCGAUAACCGCUGAAAGCAUCUAAGCGGGAAGCGAGCCUUGAGAUGAGUUCUCCCUGAUACUUUAAGUAUCCUAAAGGGUUGUCGUAGACUACGACGUUGAUAGGCAGGGUGUGUAAGCGUUGUGAGGCGUUGAGCUAACCUGUACUAAUUGCCCGUGAGGCUUAACCAU
rnacentral:rRNA from 1 species